rnacentral:rRNA from 1 species
UACAGAGGUCUCAAGCGUUGUUCGGAUUCAUUGGGCGUAAAGGGUGCGUAGGUGGCGAUGUAAGUCUAAUGUGAAAUCUCGGGGCUCAACCCCGAAAUUGCAUCGGAUACUGCGUUGCUUGAGGAUUGUAGAGGAGAGUGGAAUUCAUGGUGUAGCAGUGAAAUGCGUAGAUAUCAUGAGGAAGACCAGUUGCGAAGGCGACUCUCUGGGCAACUCCUGACACUGAGGCACGAAGGCUAGGGGAGCAAACGGG